rnacentral:rRNA from 1 species
CAACUUUCAACAAUGAAUCUCUUGGCUCUGGCAUCGAUGAAGAACGCAGCGAAAUGCGAUAAGUAGUGUGAAUUGCGGAGUUCAGUGAAUCAUCGAAUCUUUGAACGCACAUUGCGCCCCUUGGUAUUCCGUGGGGCAUGCCUGUUCGAGCGUCAUCU